AUCAUUUGUGACUCAUAAACAUGAUGAUUGGAUAUUAACAUCAUUGUGUAAGAUAUCCCUCUAUCAAAACUUUUUAUAACAUCUGUACAUAAUUCCUCUUAUA